CCCUUAGAUGUCCUGGGCCGCACGCGCGCUACAAUGGGUGGAAGAACGUGUUACUGCCUCCGAAAGGAGGGGUGAAUCACGAAUUCUUGCCCGUGAAUGGGAUAGUUUGUUGCAAUUUUCGGACUUGAACUAGGAAUCCCUUGUAAACAUGCUCAAGAAUAGCGUGUUGAAUACGUCCCUGCCGUUUGUACACACCGCCCGUCGUUUCUUCCGACUGAUACUCAUUGUGAGUUGCAAGGACCCUUUAUUGGGAAAUUGCUGCAAAUGCUUUGUAUUGGAGGAAGAAAAAGUCGUAACA
rnacentral:rRNA from 1 species